rnacentral:rRNA from 1 species
GGUGAACGCUGGCGGCGUGCUUAAGACAUGCAAGUCGAACGGACAGAGCUUGCUCUGUCAGUGGCGCACGGGUGAGUAACGCGCAACUGACCUACCCCCAAGUCGCGGAUAACGCGCCGAAAGGCACGCUAAUGCGUGAUGUGCACGCAGGUUUCUGGCCUGCUGUGUAAAGACUGGAUCGCUUGGGGAUGGGGUUGCGUUCCAUACGCUAGAUGGUGGGGUAACGGCCCACCAUGGCGACGACGGAUCGCCGGCCUGAGAGGGUGGCCGGCCACAGGGGCACUGAGAAACGGGUCCCACUCCUACGGGAGGCAGCAGUUAGGAAUCUUCCACAAUGGGCGCAAGCCUGAUGGAGCGACGCCGCGUGAGGGAUGAAGGUUUUCGGAUCGUAAACCUCUGAAUCUGGGACGAAAGACGCGACGAGCGGGAUGACGGUACCAGAGUAAUAGCACCGGCUAACUCCGUGCCAGCCGCCGCCGUAAAAC